rfam:Cajanus cajan Scaffold129046_12, whole genome shotgun sequence.
ACGACCUUACUUGAACAGGAUCUGUUCUAUAGGCUCGUACCUCUGUAUCCUUGAGAUCAAAGGAGACAGGAACCUAAGUCUGGUGAAUGAACCAUGACCGUGAGAUCAGAGCGUGAUUAACGGCAUGAUGAGUUCCUCUUUGGAGGGGCGUCAUCUAUUUCUGUAGAGGAUCGUUCUUGGACAGUGACUGUCUGAGAUGGUCUCACGGUUGUCUGACAGACC